UAUUAUAGAAGGAAAAUUGUUAUGAGGAUGAAGGAUAGUUUUAAUUUUAAAAGAUACUCACCACAAAUCUACUGGUAUGCCACCAGUGAUGCCUAGGCGGGUAAGCUGAGCUCCGGGUUGAGAGCGUUUUAGUUCCUCCGGGGGCCAGUGGGUUCCUUGCAGCACUUCCAGCGAUCGCCUGAUCACUACACUACACUAAUGGUGAUAAGCUCCAUCGAGGAUGAUACGCCAAUCGAGUAUUAUCCUCGAUUUUGCUAAGCAUCAACCGAUAUUAUCUUUGAUUUUAAUCCCGGUAUUAACUUUAGUGCGCCGAUUUUGGUGCACUAAAGAAAAUCCGAGAUUAACAAAAAUGUGGCUACGUGCUUGAUUUGGAUCACACGCACACUAGUGUACGCAUGAAAACGUCAAAUGGAAAAUAACAACAAAGCAAAACAUUGAGUUGGCUUUUGCAUCGAUGUUUUGUGGCUGUUCCCGAUAGCUUUCCAGCAAUAUUUUGCAGUUAAGGGCAUAUAAACCGGUUGAAUUGAAAAUGUAUCGCCGCGCCGGUAGUGAACCAAAAAUGAACCAGCUUCGGUGCUACAAAUGCUACGAAAUGGAAAGUCCAACCAUGAUUGGGCGUAAAUUCGACGACCACCUCGCUAGUACCCUCCUAUUGGCUCACUACCGUACAAGUACACCCAGCUUCGACUUCUUUUCAAC